UUUCGUUUUCUCCUGCAAAAACCUGCAGGUCCAAUCAGCGAACAGAGGGGGGUGGCUAAAAAUGAUGACGUUGAGGUUGUGCGUCAGUUUGAGUUGUAGUUCAGUAAUGGCAGCGGAGAAAGAUGUGAGGAAAGCUAUUCGGUCCGUUGUUGCAAAGCUGCCGAAUAUACAGAAGUUAAAGCCGGAGCAAGAACCAGCCCCAUGAUGGAGGAUAAUACUGAUGCUCUUAAUGUUUUCAAAUUCCUGCGAAGUCGGGGCAUCUCUGAGGAGGCAGUCACGGUAAUGGAACAGCAAAAGAUUGACAGAGAAGUCAUCCUGCUUAUGGAAGAUGCGAACUGGCAAAGUACCUGCCCUCAUAUGGAG